CCCUUAGAUGUCCUGGGCGGCCCGCGCGCUACAAUGUCAGCUACUGAAGGUUAAUGCUUUGAAAGAGAGCGCGCUCUCCUUUUAAUUGCUCGCAUGCUGGGAUAAAUGAAUGCAAUUUUGUUUUGAACGAGGAAUUCCUAGUAGCCAUGUUUCACUAGAAGAUGGCGAAUGCGUCCCUGCCCUUUGUACACACCGCCCGUCGCUCCUACCGAUGAGCGUUUUGGCGAAGACGGUUUGAGUAGCUGCGUAAUUUCGUGUUGUUGACUCCGGCAGUUUGAGCCUUCACGUUUAGAGGAAGGAGAAGUCGUAACA
rnacentral:rRNA from 1 species